CUCGGCUCCUCCACCGAUCUGCGCUCCAUUGAGGCUCCUGGUGCCGUCACUUCCUGUUUCUGGCUCCGCUUCCGGCUUUCGGUGGCUACGGGACGCCGGGCGGGCCUCAGGCUGUUUGGACAGCUUACCCUAAAAGAUGGAUAUCAGGCCAAACCACACAAUUUAUAUCAACAAUAUGAAUGACAAAA